GUGGAACUGAAUGGGACAUCAGGGGGAUCAAAGAUAGGAUCAAUGUGAUGUGAAGAGCCCAAAGGAUAACCAAGUGUUCCAUCUUGAUGUGGUGGAGGAAAUUUCUCACUCUUGCUCUUAGCAUUUGCAUGUGUUAUCAAACGCCGCCGAUCAAGAUUGGCUUGAAGCUCAGCAUUGGCUUCUGGAGCAGGAAAUGCCUUUACAG
rnacentral:misc_RNA from 1 species